GCCAGGCGCAGUGGCGCAUGCCUGUAGUCCUGGUUUCUCGGGAGGCUGAGGUGGGAGGAUCCCUUGAGCCCAGGAGUUCUGGGCUGUAGUGCGCUAUGCCAGUCGGGUGUCUGCGCUAAGUUCGGCAUUGAUAUGGUGACCUCCUGAGAGCAGGGGACCACCAGGUUGGAAACACAGCAGGCCAAAACUCCUGUGCUGAUCAGUAGUGGGAUUGUGCCUGUGAAUAGCCACUGCACUCCAGUCUGGACAACAUAGCGAAACCCCGUCUCU
rnacentral:SRP_RNA from 1 species